ACUCUCGUUUAUAAUCAAUUGAAGCACGUGCUCUAGAAAUAGAAGAAAAUUCACUUGCAGUAGAUGUAUUCCGACUGCUUAUUCUUCGGACAUGAAACCAAACUGAGUGUCGCUUUAUUCAAUUUGAAAUGAGGACAAAAUAAGUGUAGCAUGUGUAAUGAAUUGGAAAUUGAUAUAGAAAACAUCGGGGUCAUACAGUAGCUUGGAUACUUCCUAUUACAGGAAUCUGCACGUGUAACCCAUACAUUGAGUAGUAAAACGUGUUUCGACAUUCAUGCUGAGAAGUGUACAAUUUGGAGAAGCAUCAGUGGAGUUAUUAUCAGGCUGAAGAUAUUUGUCAACAACAUCUGGAUUUAUGGGCUUUAGUC